ACCCGACGUCUGAUCUCUGACAGUUGAGUUCAAUAUAAAACACUUUAUGUCACUACAGGGUUUCCCCAAGUGUAUUAUAAGCCUGGCGGGCCACCAGGCUUGACUUGUGCCCCCGCCAGGCUAAGCAAUGCUUAUUUAUUUAAUUAUUUUUCAAAUGUUUGCAUUUUUCAAGACUUCAUUGUUGGUGUUCAGGUCUUAAUCUUCCAAUCUUUCAAUAACACAUAAUUAUCAAGUGAUAUUUUCAAAUUUCCUGUCAGCUUUAAACAUUUUUUAAACUCAAAAACAUGACGGGUCGCUGGAUGAAUGACCGCCCUGGCACCAACCACCAGGCUUAGCAAGUUUUCCUGGGGGAAACCCUGCAAGAUAUCUUUCAUAUAUAGUCACAUUACUACAAACAUUUGGUGCUUGGGUCGGAAACACGUUUUGAACUGUGAAGAAGUGGAA